rnacentral:lncRNA from 1 species
CCAUUGGAACUUGAGCACUCUGGACAAGUCAAAUCUUAUGUACCUUUUUCUCUUCUUGGUUUCUCCUGUCCUAUCUAGGUGGCUCUCCGGUACCCCAGCCUCUGCUAUGGAAUGGAGGCCUCUCUUAGUCAUAUGAGAGUGUGAGUAGUGCAGGUCCCAUGUGAGUGACAGGGCAUAAGUCCUCUCCCUUCAUUCUGGAGUUCAGUGGAAGUCACAGCUUAGUUUUUCUGUCUCAGUUAAAGGCCAUCAUCAUACCUGCUUUUAAAUAUUUUUUUCAGAUUGACCUCUGUUUACACUCAAGGAUUUCUUUUGUUCUCUUCUACUGGUCAGAACAGUGAUCACAUAAUGGAACCAAUAAAAAUCUGGUUUGGGAUGGGUCAGAAUGCAAUACUAAGAUUUGGAUAGGUGAUGGACACAAGACUGCUCUUUAUAUCAACUGGUUUCUGUCCUACUUUUUUAGAGACUGCAGUAUUCUAUCUGGCCAGAAGACGCCAGUGAAUGGAUGUCCUGACUUCCUACCUGGCAAUGAAGUGGUCAAGAAAUGUUUUUCAAGCACCUACUAUGUGGACUUACGGGUCAAGAUGGCUCCAGAGUAAAAGCAAGACUCUACUUCUCCUCUCUACCAUUCCUCAAAACGACAAAACCAAAAUCAAAGAAGCGAAAGAGUUCCACAGUACGACAUAGCACAGAAGUAUCCUGGAGGGACACCAGAUGGAACCAAAAGACCAUGUUAUUUAGGUCAAUCAGUCAAAAAGUAAAACCUUAAUUUACAAUGAAAAAAGUUUUUAAAAAAAAUAAACAAUCUAAAUGACUACUUUCCUGACCCUGU